UCUUCGGAGAUGGAAUCUUUAACUUAGUGGCGGACGGGUGAGUAACGCGUGAGCAAUCUGCCUUUAAGAGGGGGAUAACAGUCGGAAACGGCUGCUAAUACCGCAUAAAGCAUUAAAUUCGCAUGUUUUUGAUGCCAAAGGAGCAAUCCGCUUUUAGAUGAGCUCGCGUCUGAUUAGCUGGUUGGCGGGGUAACGGCCCACCAAGGCGACGAUCAGUAGCCGGACUGAGAGGUUGAACGGCCACAUUGGGACUGAGACACGGCCCAGACUCC
rnacentral:rRNA from 1 species